rnacentral:tRNA from 1 species
CAUCAGAUAACUAAACAAUAAAGUAUUGGUCUCUUAAACCACUAAUAGUACGCCCCUAACUACUUCUGAUGA